GAUGAAGAACGCAGCGAAUUGCGAUAAGUAAUGUGAAUUGCAGAAUUCAGUGAAUCAUCGAAUCUUUGAACGCACAUUGCGCCCGCCAGUAUUCUGGCGGGCAUGCCUGUUCGAGCGUCAUUACAACCCUCAGGCCCCCGGGCCUGGCGUUGGGGAUCGGCGGAGCCCCCCGUGGGCACACGCCGUCCCCCAAAUGCAGUGGCGGUCCCGCCGCAGCUUCCAUCGCGUAGUAGCUAACACCUCGCGACUGGAGAGCGGCGCGGCCACGCCGUAAAACACCCAACUCUUCUGAAGUUGACCUCGAAUCAGGUAGGAAUACCCGCUGAACUUAAGCAUAUCAAUAAGCGGAGGA
rnacentral:misc_RNA from 1 species